AUGAUUUCUCUUAUUCUAAUGCUUGGGACACUCUGUCUGCUUGCUCAAGUGUCUCAUGAAGAGGUUCAGUCUCCUGAGUCUCUGUCUGUUAAAGCAGGAGAAUCUGUCUCUAUCAGCUGCACUGGGACCAGCGGAGUUGGUGAUGACAUGAGCUGGUAUCUGCUGAAACCUGGAGAAGCUCCUAAACUCCUCAUCCAUGAUGCCAGUCAAUUGUAUUUUGAAGUAUUAUAAUAUUUGUUUUUGCACUCUCUCUCAGUGUCUCAUGAAGAGGUUCAGUCUCCUGAGUCUCUGUCUGUUAAAGCAGGAGAAUCUGUCUCUAUCAGCUGCACUGGGACCAGCGGAGUUGGUGAUGACAUGAGCUGGUAUCUGCUGAAACCUGGAGAAGCUCCUAAACUCCUCAUCCAUGAUGCCAGUCAACUUGUAUCUGGAAUCUCAGAUCAGUUCAGUGGAACUUAAUCUGGAUACGUAUUUACACUGAACAUACGUGGAGUCCAGCCUGAGGAUGCAGGAGUUUAUUACUGUAUGGGGUUUUAUAGUAGUGGAGUGUGCACACAGUGAAACAACAUCAUACAAAAACCUCCCUCAGUCUGACAGCUAAGAGAAUAUGAGAACAAUUUCAGCCAAGUUUCCCUGUAUAAUUAAACAACACACUAAUGAAGAUUUUUUUAAAGUAUUCAAUCUGUUCAAUCAAAAGUAAUUACCACACAUGAAAAAUAUAUUUAUACAGGAAAAUAUAUUUAACAGGAAUUUGUUAAGCCUUAACCUAAAUAUAACUCUUUUGUCUAUUCUUAAAAUUACUUAACAACAAAGACCAACAAGGAUGCUGAUCUAGGAUCAAGUUCAAAAUGGCAAAAUCAUGAUGACCGCAGUCCUUCUGCAGUACAUUGGCACUGGUCACUGACUUCCAGAAUCACUGACUGACAACAGCAAACAAGGAUAGAGAAAGGAGAGAAACUGGGAAGUUUCUUAAAAACAUUUCUUUCAGUCUCUGUAAGUGUCUUUCACUUCUCUUGCACCUGAAAAGUUAAUCAAACACAUCUGAGCCCAACAGCCCAUAAAAACAGCUUUCAGCUCAAUUCAAGUACAGCCAUUUAUUUGGUGUUCAUAUUUUCAGGUUAAACAGAUCUAGACCACACCUGAGCUGUGAUGUUGAAAGGGGUGUGUCGAUGUGAAAUAUGGCAGCAGACAAGUAUGUUGUGAAAGCUAAUAAGAUCUUUAUUUUUUAUUUUAAAUGUUUUAUUUUUUUAAAUUUCAAGACAAAAUGUACAAAAGAGCUUAAAAAUAACACAAUAUUCCCUAAAAAUGUAGUUACAUAUUAAGUGAAAUUUUUUAAUAGAAGUACUAGCAACAAAUAAGUUUCCAAUAUUAAACUUUUUUUUUUUUUUUAUAAUUCUGAUGGUAAUUUCUGUAAUAAAUAAAUAAAUCUUUAAGUGCAACUAAUCUUAGUUUUCACAUUUCUCAGGUCUUUUUAGUGGAAUAAAUGUAAUCAGCCAUUUUAAAGUGUCUUGUGAAUCUCACACAAGUAAUGCUGACUUAAGUAAGUUACAAGUAAAAAUAGAAAAAGUAUUUAUCUCUGUGUGUAUGUGUGUGUGUGUCAUUACAAACACAAAAGAUUAUUAUCACAAAAAUAUACAGUAUAACACUUGAAUAAUUAUUGUUGAUUAUUUCCAUUCUUUUCAGAUUCUGCAAUAUACCUUCCAGCACUUAGUUUUGCUCUGUAAUGACAAAUAAGGGGCAUGAAAUUGCAAACAGUGUCCAGCCUCCAGCUGAAUAAUUGUAAAAUAAGGAACAGAUUUUCGAAACUUCUGGUCAUAUAUGGUGCUUUGCAUAGACAGCAACAGUGAUCUGAAAAUGUUUAUAGGUCUGUUGAACUUUUCACUGAGCUUCUGUUCAUGAUAGCAGAUCUAACAGCCAACAUGACUUUGUUCUCUUUUAUCAUUUGGACACUCUACAGCAUGAAAGGUAAAAGCUGUUAUUGUUACAUGUGAUCUUUUAAAUGUAAUUAUAUUUCAAAGAUAUAAUAUAAGUAAUAAUAUAAUAUAUGAAAUACUAAUCUGUGCUGUCAUCACUUACUCUACACAGGUUGUUUUGGACCAAUAGUACUGAACUGUUGAUAUCCAUUUUUGUCACUCACUUAACAUGUUACAUACUCUAUUAAUAAUUAACAUCAGAAUGUCUCAAUCAGAUUUCCACAUGAACUACAAUCCAAUGCAAUCCAUCCAACCUUGAUCAAAGAAAGCCCACUGUAGCCAAAGCAACUUUUCAUGGUAAGUCAAUGAACCCAUUUUUUGUUGUUUUUUGUUCGGAGCAGUCACAAAAGGUUUUCCCUGGUAUAUGAAAAAUGAAAUCUAUAAGCAGUUUAUUUUCUUGUGAACGCCAUAAAUGAUAAAAGUACCUAAAAUAAUAACAUAAAAAUAAAAUGAAUUAAAUAUUGUAGCAAGGGAACAAAUAAAAUGAAUGAAUUAAGGACAAAAUAAUUCAAACAAUGAAUGAUUUAUAAAGCUUUUAUUUGGCAAAAAAAUUAAGAAAACAUACUUGGUCAUAUGUAUUAAACAGGCUUUAAAAAGAUUUGCAUACAAAGCAAAUUGGAAAACCGUGAUGUUUGUUCUUUAUUAA
rnacentral:lncRNA from 1 species